rnacentral:lncRNA from 1 species
CAUAAUCCUACUUUCCUAUAAACAGAAAGACCUAAUUUCACUUAGCUAGAUGAGCGGCUCACCCUAACCUCUCAAAAAUCCAUCCGCCAACCUAACUUCUCCAAAACUGGCCCCACCCCUUUACCAUUCUACGACCAUCGCUCAACCAACACUCAGUUGCUUAACUCACCCCUUCACUGAGAGCCAUUAACAACCCCCCUUGUCGCCAGUCGCCACCAUACCCCACAAGAAAAAUAGCCACAACCCCUCAUGAUUCGAGUAACUGACAGUCGCUCACCACCAAAAGAACCAUCGGCCUCCUCUAUAAAAAUUGGGAAGAGACGCUUGAUUGAACAGGAGGUCCGUUCGAGGCUCAGUUGCCGGCCGAGGUUCAAGCCAUUAGCUCGUUUUUGGUUUAUUGCAUUGGAGACUUUCUUUCAUUGUAUUUAUUGAAGAAUACGCAGCAAUAAAGGUCCAUCUCCUUUCCCUAUCCAUUACUCCUUUUUCUCUCAUAUACAGGUGAUGCUUUAUUUGGCAUGAUUUAGUAAAUACUUUGAUGUUUGACUGUUGAUUAAGUGAAUUUUAUCCUAGUAACCAUGUUGAGUUUAGUUUUAUAAAUUGAAUAGAUAUGGCCUCCUCUAUAAAAACUGAGAAGAGACGCUUGAUUGAACAUGAGGUUCGUUCGAGGCUCAGUUGCCGGCCCGAGGUUCAGGCCAUUAGCUCGUUUUUGGUUUAUUGCAUUGGAGACUUUCUUUCAUUGUAUUUAUUGAAGAAUACGCAGCAAUAAAGGUCAAUCUCCUUUCACUAUCCAUUAUUCCUUUUUAUCUCAUAUAUAUGUGAUGCUUUAUUUGGCUUGAUUUAGUAAAUGCUUUGAUGAUACUAUUGAUUGAGUGAAU